rnacentral:snoRNA from 1 species
CCCAGCAGCAGGCAGCUGCCUAGGUUACUUUGUACCCAGGCAAGUGUUACAUUGCUGGGAGAAAAUCGGUCAAUAGCUGGUGGGCUCUCUGACCCAGUUAAUACCAAAUUUGUGUUAAUUAU